rfam:Tinamus guttatus contig47969, whole genome shotgun sequence.
ACAAAGGUUUUAUUUAAAAUCAUCUACAUACACAGCUUCUUUUUUU